rnacentral:pre_miRNA from 1 species
GUAGUAUUCCCUCCAUCCCAAAAUUCGUGUCUUACAUUUGUUUAGAUACGGAUGUAUCUAACACUAAAAUGUAACUAGAUACAUCCGUAUUUAGACAAAUUUAAGACAAGAAUUUUGGGACGGAGGGAGUACAUA